rnacentral:rRNA from 1 species
AUUGAACGCUGGCGGCAGGCCUAACACAUGCAAGUCGAACGAGUGGCGGACGGGUGAGUAAUGUCUGGGAAACUGCCUGAUGGAGGGGGAUAAUUACCGGAAACGGUAGCUAAUACCGCAUACCAUUGGCGGUGCCCCGAUGGGAUUAGCCAGUAGGUGGGGUAACGGCUCACCUAGGCGACGAUCCCUAGCUGUUCUGAGAGGAUGACCAGCCCCACUGGAACUGAGCCACGGUCCAGGCUCCUACGGGAGGCAGCAGUGAGGAAUAUUGCACAGUGGGCGCAAGCCUGAUGCAGCCAGGCCGCGUGUAUGAAGAAGGCCUUCGGGUUGUAAAGUACUUUCAGCGGGGAGGCGUGACCCGCAGAAGAAGCACCGGCUAACUCCGUGCCAGCCGCCGCGGUAAUC